rnacentral:rRNA from 1 species
UUACGGCGGCUAUAGCGGUGGGGAAACGCCCGGUCCCAUUCCGAACCCGGAAGCUAAGGCCACCUGCGCCAAUGGUACUGCACUCGACAGGGUGUGGGAGAGUAGGACACCGCCGGAACAUC